GACGAACGCUGGCGGCGUGCUUAACACAUGCAAGUCGAACGGAAAGGCCUUUUCGGAGGUACUCGAGUGGCGAACGGGUGAGUAACACGUGGGUGAUCUGCCCUGCACUCUGGGAUAAGCCUGGGAAACUGGGUCUAAUACCGGAUAGGACCGCACUUUAGUGUGUGUGGUGGAAAGUUUUUUCGGUGUAAGAUGAGCCCGCGGCCUAUCAGCUUGUUGGUGGGGUAAUGGCCUACCAAGGCGGCGACGGGUAGCCGGACUGAGAGGUUGGUCGGCCACAUUGGGACUGAGAUACGGCCCAGACUCCUACGGGAGGCAGCAGUGGGGAAUAUUGCACAAUGGGCGCAAGCCUGAUGCAGCGACGCCGCGUGGGGGAUGACGGCCUUCGGGUUGUAAACUCCUUUCGCCAGGGACGAAGCGUUUUGUGACGGUACCUGGAGAAGAAGCACCGGCUAACUACGUG
rnacentral:rRNA from 1 species